UACGGGAGGCAGCAGUGGGGAAUAUUGCACAAUGGGCGCAAGCCUGAUGCAGCCAUGCCGCGUGUAUGAAGAAGGCCUUCGGGUUGUAAAGUACUUUCAGUCGUGAAGGAAGGUGUUAAGGUUAAUAACCUUAGCAAUUGACGUUAGCGACAGAAGAAGCACCGGCUAACUCCGUGCCAGCAGCCGCGGUAAUACGGAGGGUGUGAGCGUUAAUCGGAAUUACUGGGCGGUAAAGGGCACGCAGGCGGUUAAUUAAGUUGGAUGUGAAAUCCCCGGGCUUAACCUGGGAAUGGCAUUCAAGACUGGUUAGCUAGAGUCUUGUAGAGGGGGUAGAAUUCCAUGUGUAGCGGUGAAAUGCGUAGAGAUGUGGAGGAAUACCGGUGGCGAAGGCGGCCCCUGGACAAAAGACUGACGCUCAUGUGCG
rnacentral:rRNA from 1 species